AAAGGAAUUAUAAACAUUCCUCCGUUCAGCAACUUAGCGACUAGCUAGGGUUUACUCCCAUUCUCAACCUUUUCUCAAUCUUUAUCAUUUUUACAACUUUGUUCCACGAUUUGAUUGAAAGUUCUUCUUGAUUUCUUGGUCACGAUUUAUAUUAAUACUCUUCUUAUAUGAUUCUCGUUGUUUCAUGAGUUAUUGAUUUGGAAAUUUUUAUAUAUGUUUUUUGACGUUGUGGUAUUGUGCGAUUGAGUUAAUUCCAUGGAGAGGUCGUAUCAUUAAAUUUUUGGAAAGAAAAUCUAGUGUAUUCACUCCAGAUCCAAUAUUGUUCAAGGAGACUUAACAUUAACUUGAAAUUCUGAGUUUGCUUUACCUAAUUUUAUUUUCUUUUGUUUGCGUUGUAUAUGGAUGUAUGUGUUUGAUUUUUUUUAGCGACUAACAUACUUUUUUAUUGCUUCUCCAGUGGUGAAAUUUUUAACGGAACAUUUGAAGGAAAAAUAUUAUCAAAUUGGUGAUAACUUCAUUAAUGCUAUCUAUUGCGUUAAGAUGGUGAGCUGUAUCUAUGUUCAGGGACUUGAGGUAAUCAAUCAUAAAAUUUUAUUCCUUAGAUGUUUGAAACCUAUGAAUGGUUGAGGUGGUAAAUUUUAUGUUUUUGGCAAUUGUGGAUUUGAAGAUAAUUUUUGUGUAGUUUUAUAAAUAUAUUAUGCUAAAUUGGUGUCUUGGAGUUAGAAAAUUUGAUUCAUAUCCUGUAUUCAAUAGACGACAAACAUCUUUUAAAGUAGAUAUCGUCACUGGUGAAUUCAUAAUUGAUGUUAAUUGGUGCAUAGACCUCUUUGUUUUUUUUUCCAACUAGAAAGAGGAAAGGCCAAUCUCCUGUUAGCAAAAAAGGAACUUGCCAAUAACUUAUAUUCUGUCAAGGCUUUCAAUUUUUCCUAGUAAUUAAAUUAAAAACAAUGGAUAAAAGCAACACUAAGUUCAAAAGUAAUUGUUUCACUAAACAAUCUGCACUGUCUAUAUAUACAUUUUGUAUGCAUAUAUAAGAAGAAACAACACUAUCUCCACUUACUUAGACCAUAUACUUUUCAAUCCCACUUUUCAGAGAACAAGUUUUGAAGUUGUUGGAGUGUUGUCAAGCCCCAUUGCCCAACUAAAUUCGUUAGCAAAUUCAACAUGUUUGUACUUGUCCUUAAUGAUAGACCUAUUGGUAUUAUAGUAACCAAGCCAUGUCUGGUAUGUAAAUUCCUUGCUUUAUAUCUAAUAUAGAAUAACACAUGUUCCACCUCUUUUUGGCCUCUGGAUCUAGCAGAGAUAAAGGUGCAUUUGAUAUGGGCAAAUCUUUAAUCAUAGAAAUAGAUGAAGAGGCCUUUUUUAUAUGGGAAAAUCUUGGAUAUAUAUUCUUAUCUUAUGAUAACUUAAAUAUUUAAGUAAGUCUUGUUUUUUGAUUGUUGUUUUGUAUGCAUCUAAAGUUUAGUAAAGGAAAUAUGAAACUCUCUAGCUAUGCUCCAACUUAAGGUGUAGUAUCGAUAAACAUCGUUUCAGAAAUUUUUUGAACUGCAACCUUACAGAAAGUCAAACAAUUAGGAUUGGUGAAGAACUGAAGAUUAUGUUAUUGCUAGCUGAUGAGUCAAUGAUCUCAAGUUUAAAUUUCCAUUAGUUCAUGGAUGCAUGCAGUAUCUUAUUCCCUUAUUUUUUAUCAUUUAAACUUUUAAUUAUCAGUUUUAUCAUUACGCGUGACACAUCUGGGAGGAGGGGGUGGUGCCAGAAGAUGACAGUUGAAUACACUUGUGAAGUGUAUUUCCUUCUGUUGUUUCUCAUACGCUUUCACUUGCACGUGUAUGGGUAUGUAUAUUUUAUGCUUAACUGUCAGCAGCUUGAGAAUAACUUUUUGAGUAUUUGUAAUACUGACGCUACAAAUAUUUUGCAGACAUUAAUAUGCAGAUUGACUGGUUUACUAUUGAUACCUAGAAUCCAUAACUAGAUAAAACUCUAAUGUUGUAGUUGUAUCUAGUGUAAGAAUCUAAUGCAACACAAUAUCAGUUUCGAAGAUGUGAUUGGAUCGUAGAAUCUGUUUUUUUCUCUAAAGUUUUAUCAUUUGUUGGUAAAAGAAAAAGUCUAGCUUUGAUGCUAACCCUUGUACUUUUAAGUUGUGUUCGACUACUGAACGUAAUUUCUUUUAAAUAUUUCAGUUGGUCAUCUUAGUGGUGACUUCUAUUUGAAAUGAGCAUUACUAAGAGGUUAUGCUAAGACAGGGACCAUGAACAAGAUUUGGAGAUUACUGUUUACAAGUCGAGAUGCAAGUUUGAAGAUUUUGAACAAGUUUUGAUAAUUUGGUCAUCAUUUUGCUAGGACAGUUUGGCAAAGUAUUUCAUUAAUUAUAUACUUAGAUAUGUUAGUUGUGUAAAAGAUAUCAUGAUUAUAAUUUUAAAAAGAAUUUGACAUGUAUGUGUGAUACUAACUAAUCGUUAGUUUAAUUAAUAUGAUUGAUGAUUUUGU